ACGGAAGGCAGCAGUGGGGAAUAUUGGACAAUGGGGGAAACCCUGAUCCAGCGACGCCGCGUGAGUGAAGAAGUAUUUCGGUAUGUAAAGCUCUAUCAGCAGGGAAGAUAAUGACGGUACCUGACUAAGAAGCCCCGGCUAACUACGUGCCAGCAGCCGCGGUAAUACAUAGGGAGCAAGCGUUAUCCGGAUUUACUGGGUGUAAAGGGUGCGUAGGCGGCAUGGUAAGUCAGUCGUUAAAGACCAGAGCUUAACUCUGGACCAGCGAUUGAAACUAUCAAGCUAGAGUACAGGAGAGGUUAGUGGAAUUACUAGUGUAGAGGUGGAAUUCAUAGAUAUUAGUAAGAACACCAAUGGCGAAGGCAGCUAACUGGCCUGAAACUGACGCUGAGGCACGAAAGUGUGGGGAGCAAACAGGAUUAGAUACCCUGGUA
rnacentral:rRNA from 1 species